rnacentral:rRNA from 1 species
AUUGAACGCUGGCGGCAGGCCUAACACAUGCAAGUCGAACGGUAACAGGAAGCAGCUUGCUGCUUUGCUGACGAGUGGCGGACGGGUGAGUAAUGUCUGGGAAACUGCCUGAUGGAGGGGGAUAACUACUGGAAACGGUAGCUAAUACCGCAUAACGUCGCAAGACCAAAGAGGGGGACCUUAGGGCCUCUUGCCAUCGGAUGUGCCCAGAUGGGAUUAGCUAGUAGGUGGGGUAACGGCUCACCUAGGCGACGAUCCCUAGCUGGUCUGAGAGGAUGACCAGCCACACUGGAACUGAGACACGGUCCAGACUCCUACGGGAGGCAGCAGUGGGGAAUAUUGCACAAUUGGCGCAAGCCUGAUGCAGCCAUGCCGCGUGUAUGAAGAAGGCCUUCGGGUUGUAAAGUACUUUCAGCGGGGAGGAAGGGAGUAAAGUUAAUACCUUUGCUCAUUGACGUUACCCGCAGAAGAAGCACCGGCUAACUCCGUG